rnacentral:rRNA from 1 species
GACGAACGCUGCCGCCGCGCUUAACACAUGCUAGUCGAACGGAAAGGCCCUGCUUUUGUGGGGUGCUCGAGUGGCGAACGGGUGAGUAACACGUGAGUAACCUGCCCUUGACUUUGGCAUAACUUCAGGAAACUGGGGCUAAUAACGGAUAGGAGCUCCUGCUGCAUGGUGGGGGUUGUAAAGUUUCGGCGGUUGGGGAUGGACUCGCGGCUUAUCAGCUUGUUGGUGGGGUAGUGGCUUACCAAGGCUUUGACGGGUAGCCGGCCUGAGAGUGUGACCGGCCAGAUUGGGACUGAGAUACGGCCCAGACUCCUACGGGAGGCAGCAGUGGGGAAUAUUGCACAAUGGGCGGCAGCCUGAUGCAGGAACUCCGCGUGCGGGAUGACGGCCUUCGGGUCGUAAACCGCUUUCGCCCGUGACGAAGCGUGACUGACGGUAAUGGGUAAAGAAGAAGCGGCUAAAUACGUG